GAAAUUGUGUCAGUUCUGAUUUUGUGAGUAUUUCAAAGCUGUCUGCAUUGAACAAUGUGUUGACACAUUUUAGAUGUCAAAGGAGCAGCCCCAAUAGCCGGUUAUGCUUCAGGCUUGUCUCACACUGAAUUUUCUCUCUGUCUCUUUUACGGCCAGCCCAGCUGGAAGGUGACACCUCAAAAGGUUUCUCAUUGACACAAUUAAUGCUUCAUCUGUGAACCUGGCUGAACAAAGUGUCAUCCUCUGCUCAGGAAAUUUUUGAGAUCCUGAUUCUAGGGAGCUGGCAAACUCCAGUUCUCUGAGUCCUGCUGUCUGAAGGAAGCCCAUGUUUUGUAUCAGAGCGCUGCUUGGCUGGUCUGGGAAGAAGCAAGGGUUCUUGGUACGUGAUGGCCAGGAUUUGAUAACAAAGAAUAAAAUUACAAUGGAAAUCAGGCAAGUUCUGUUUAGACAGGAAAGGGAAAAAUGGCUCAGAGUUUGCCAUGUGGUAUCUCAUAUCUUGAAAAAUAAACAAUGUUGUCUCCUUUGGUAUUUUAUUGUAUAUUAACAUAUAUCAUUAAUUAAAUAAUAAAGUCUCUAGCACUUUAUACCUGCAUAAGGAGCUUUCAGAUGAUCUAAUUUAGUUCCCACUUACCAUGGGAGACUGUGUCACAUAGUCCUCUUUAUGGAUUUGUCAGAUCUGUCCUAAAAAUUG